UGGGGAAUUUUGGACAAUGGGCGCAAGCCUGAUCCAGCCAUGCCGCGUGCGGGAAGAAGGCCUUCGGGUUGUAAACCGCUUUUGUCAGGGAAGAAAUUUUCUGAGUUAAUACCUCGGGAGGAUGACGGUACCUGAAGAAUAAGCACCGGCUAACUACGUGCCAGCAGCCGCGGUAAUACGUAGGGUGCAAGCGUUAAUCGGAGUUACUGGGCGUAAAGCGUGCGCAGGCGGUUUUGUAAGACAGAGGUGAAAUCCCCGGGCUCAACCUGGGAACUGCCUUUGUGACUGCAAGGCUUGAGUGCGGCAGAGGGGGGAUGGAAUUCCGCGUGUAGCAGUGAAAUGCGUAGAUAUGCGGAGGAACACCGAUGGCGAAGG
rnacentral:rRNA from 1 species